UGUAUAUGUGUGUGUGAGCUGCAACCUUUGCCGGAUUACGGAAAUAUGUGGCCGAACAACGAAACACACGUGUUUUAAGCUUCAUCCAUAUUGCUGCACAGGGACUGGCUGCUUCCGGAUGCGCGGCUGGCGCAAAAGGCGGCGAAUGUGACUCCCUGAAUGUGGUCGACGUCGAUGGAUGCGUUUCGUGCAUUCGGAAGAACCGUGACAUGGCAGUCGGAGUUAAAGUCCGCCUGAGCUCCACAGUGGCCGACGAUGGACGGAACGAAGAAGAAAUAUAUCGGU